rnacentral:misc_RNA from 1 species
CCGAGUUUACAACUCCCAAACCCCUAUGUGAACCUUACCAAUUCGUUGCCUCGGCGGGUCGCCCCGGGUGCGUCGCAGCCCCGGAACCAGGCGUCCGCCGGAGGACCAAAACUUUACAAACUCUUCUGUAUCGUCCCCUCGCGGAUGAAUGUCUUUUAUCUCUGAACAAUCUCGGCGCUCCUAGCGGGGUGUUCGAAAAUCAAUCA